GUGGCAUUUGAAAUGUCUCUGAUGGUGGCCCCAUUCAGGCAUUGGAACGUGUUGUCUGGGGAAAUGGCAAGUCUACAUGCCUGGAGGUACUGAAGACAUUCAUGGAUGUGGCACCAAGGGACAUGGAAUAGAGAUGGGACUUGGGCAAUGUAAAUGGGACUUCACCCCAUCCCCACCUCCUGACUUGAGACUGUGGCUUGAGAACAGCAGGAAUUGCUCAUGGGACAGCCCAGGGAUGUAUAUAUCAAGGCUGGAACACAGAGAUGAAAGCAUCCCGGGGGCAGGCAGAAGAGUGGGGCUGGAAUUCAGCUUCCUCACUGCAAGAUUUCACUUUCACUGAGUAGAUAUUUGGUAAAAUAUCUCUUCCUCCUCAUGCUGAGGACCUUAUUGCUCCCCAGGU
rnacentral:lncRNA from 1 species